UACGUAGGUGGCGAGCGUUGUCCGGAUUUAUUGGGUUUAAAGGGUGCGUAGGCGGCCUGUUAAGUCAGUGGUGAAAUCCAACAGCUCAACUGUUGAUGUGCCAAUGAUACUGACAGGCUUGAGUACAGACGAGGCAGGCGGAAUUGACGGUGUAGCGGUGAAAUGCAUAGAUAUCGUCAAGAACACCGAUAGCGAAGGCAGCUUACUGGGCUGUAACUGACGCUGAUGCACGAAAGUGUGGGGAUCAAACAGG
rnacentral:rRNA from 1 species